rnacentral:lncRNA from 1 species
UAGGUGUGUUUUUAACGCAACAAGUUUUUGGCUCCGUUGUCGGGGAUUAAUUUAACGAUAUUAGACUAAAAAGAUUUUUUUUAUUAAUUUAGACAUUGUACAGUUUUUGUCAGUUUAUUUUAUUAUUUUCCAUUGUUAAUAUCACUUGUGCGUACUCACCUUGCUCUCAAUAGCCUGUUUGUAGUUGAUUGUAUUUUGCAGGAAAAGAAAAAGUCAUGGUUGAGAGGAAAACAAUGAGAGAUUACAUCAUAGAAGCUAAAUUGGAUGCUAUAAUAGCUAAAUUGGAAAUUCUU